AGGCACAGCAUAUGGCCAGGAAGUUGCCAGCCUUUAGGGGGGCCAAAGGGGGCGCACAGCAUGAUGUAGGGAGGGCCUCCCAGUUUUUUACUGGGAGCCCUUCAUUUCCAGUAGAGUAGUGCCUCUAACAAAUAACAGUCUACUCUAAAUUUGAGAAUCUCAUUCUCAUCUAGUCUCUACUCCUUCAAAAAAAUCAUUAAAAACUCACCUUUUCACAAAAGCAUAUCAAUUAAGCUAUUAAUGGCUCCAAAACCCCACACUAAGUCUUCAUUGAAUACUAUUCUACUAUUUUACCAAUCUACUUCCCUAAUAUUUCCCAUACCUUUUGUGUCACUUUACCCUACUCCCUUUAGCAUGUGAGCUCAUUGAGCAGGGCCCUCAACCCCAAUGUUUCUGUGCGUCAAACUUGUCUGGUUACAAUUACAUGUUCGUUAGUGUGGCAAAAGUAACCUCGCCACUGGUACUUGGAGGGGCCUGCUUGCCAGCCUCUUGCCCUAGGAUUAUGGCUCUGCAAAAUGACAUGUUAAAAAGAGACUUCCAUGGAAAAACCAAACCAAAACUGGGUGAUUUUUGGAUAUGUUGCUCACCCAGAUCAGGGCUAUCCGAGGAUGUGACACUUGUGGGGUUUCCAUUGAUCUUGGGGGUACUUUUGGGGUGUUUGUUAAAUGUGUCCCUCCUCAAAC